rnacentral:rRNA from 1 species
GACGAACGCUGGCGGCGUGCCUAAUACAUGCAAGUAGAACGCACAGUUUAUACCGUAGCUUGCUACACCAUAAACUGUGAGUUGCGAACGGGUGAGUAACGCGUAGGUAACCUGCCUGGUAGCGGGGGAUAACUAUUGGAAACGAUAGCUAAUACCGCAUAAUAUUGAUUAUUGCAUGAUAAUUGAUUGAAAGAUGCUAUUGCAUCACUACCAGAUGGACCUGCGUUGUAUUAGCUAGUAGGUGAGGUAACGGCUCACCUAGGCGACGAUACAUAGCCGACCUGAGAGGGUGGUCGGCCACACUGGGACUGAGACACGGCCCAGACUCCUACGGGAGGCAGCAGUAGGGAAUCUUCGGCAAUGGACGAAAGUCUGACCGAGAAACGCCGCGUGAGUGAAGAAGGUUUUCGGAUCGUAAAGCUCUGUUGUAAGAGAAGAACGGGUGUGAGAGUGGAAAGUUCACACUGUGACGGUAUCUUACCAGAAAGGGACGGCUAACUACGUG